GAUGAACGCUGGCGGCGUGCCUAAUACAUGCAAGUCGAGCGAACAGACGAUGCUCUUGCUCCUUUCUCGUUUGCCGCACACGUGAGUGACACAUGUGUAUCCUCUCCUUAUCUGUCUGGUAUCACUUCGAGAAACCGGCGCUAACCCCGGAUAACCUGCUGAUGCGCAUGGUUCAACAGUGAAAUACGGUGUUGCUGUCUCUUCUCGAUGGUUCUGCGCCGCAUUAGCUAGUUGUUAGGGUAACGGCUUAUCACGGCUACGAUGCGUAGACGACCUGAGAGAGUGAUAGGCCACACGGGAGCGGAGACACGGACCAGAGGCCUACGGGAGGCAGCAGUAGGGAAUGUGACGCAGUGGGCGGAAGCCUGGCGGAGCGGGGCCGCGUGAGUGAAGAAGGUCUUCGGAUCGUAAAACUCUGUUAUUAGGGAAGAACAAAUGUGUAAGGAGCUGUACACGUCUUGACGGUAACGAAUCAGAAAGCCACGGCUAACUACGUG
rnacentral:rRNA from 1 species